AUUCAAGUAGUUUAAUUAAAAUUAAAAUUUGUGGUUUUUUAGAUAUAUUUAUUUAUCUUGAAUU
rnacentral:tRNA from 1 species